GACGUUUCUCAUACAACUUUAGCGUUAGCAACAACAAAAUCGGUUUUUGUGGUUCCAACUUGACCGAAAUUUGACCAUAAAUGGGGAGAUAUACGUGUGCCUACAACUGCGACACCUCGAGCGAUCCAGACGUAAAGUUUUUUAAGUUUCCCCUGUACAAUCCCCGAAAACUUAAAAAAUGGGUACUGAACAUGAAGUGGAAGGACUGGACGCCGACUCGCUUUUCUGUUCUGUGCAUCAAUCACUUUGAGGAGCAGUACAUUGACAAAACGGGCAAAAGUGUGACACUUCGGGAAGAUGCGGUUCCCACCAUAUUUACACCGACUGACAACACACAGAAAAAGAAGGCUGCCAUUAACCCGAGACGUAAACGACACAAGCAACCUGGUGCUAAAAGCUCAGAGAAGGAUUUGGCUGCAUCUGCAACAUCAGCUCUCCCUGCAACAGACGACAGUGUCCGGGCCAAAGAACCCAGCCAGACAGACCAAGAGACAUCUGGAGAUCCCAAAACGUCAGAGAAAUGGAGGAUUAUAAUUGAUGAAGCACUGAUGAAGAUCGAUUCAUUUCCACACUUUUUUCAUGGAGAUUACUGUGUACCACAGAGUAUCCACUGGGCUCCAGAUAAUAAUUUCAGUCCUGAGGAUAAAGACAAUGAAAACAUUAUAGAGGUGAAGGAGCCAUGGGAGUGGCUUGCUCUGGAUGUCCGAGGACCGCUGCCUCAAACAGUAAACGGACACAAAUACAUUUUGACGGUGACCGACUUCUACUCCAAAUGGGUGGAAGCUGUGCCGAUGACAGCGUGCCUCCCUUCAGAUGUGGCAAAGAACGUCGUGGACAUCAUUGCGCACUUUGGAUAUCCACUGAGAAUCCUCUCUAGACUGCCUCUUGACAUAGUCCACAAAAUCAACCGAGAACUGAAAGAUCAGCUGAAGGUUGCUGUUGCUCUUGUGGUCUAUCAUCAGCAGACGGGCAUCGCAGAUAUGAUCACACCACAGCUGAUAGACAGGAUGGUGAACGAUCUAAUAGAGGAGCAUGCAGCUGACUGGGAUGUUUACCUGCCUGCCAAAGUGUUCAGUCUGUGCUUCAAAGAGCAUUCAGAGACCGAGGAGAGGCCUUUCUCAGUGCUCUGCUGUAAGGGAAUAGAGCCUGUUCAAUUCCCCAGAGAACUGGAUUUUCCACUUUCCAAGAUCCGAGAGAGUGCCUUUGUGGUUAGAUAGAAGUUUAUUCGUUUUAUUUUCAGGUCACUUUAAUUGGAAACAAACUGGAGCUGCUUUAGCAGCAAACCAGGGAAGAAGAACGUGUUCAGUCCUGGAGGUAUUCGUUCUGGUGGAAACCCUGAUGAGUGGACCGGGAUGUUCUAGUACUGAGUUCUGUGGAGAGGAUUUGUUGAUGAAGCUGUGCAUUUCGACAGCAUUUUCCACUUUGUCUGUGAUACACUGAGAUGCUCCACCUAUUUUUCAUUCGCAAGUAUUUUUGGAUGUAGUAUUUUAAUUCAGUUUUUUGCUGUAGCACUGCAGCAAAAUGUCUUGCUUAAAAUAUAUAGCAGCAUGUCUGCAGUGUUGAGACUGGAACAAGCUAAAUGUAGGUUAGGAAGGCGAGACAGUUUUCUGAGCCAUAGGAGACUGAUCAGUAUAGCAUUAUUAUUUUUAUGACUUCAAGCAGUUCAGCCACCUCCACUGGUAAGGUUUAGGCUGCUGAUCGUUGAUGUUUUCUGUUUGUAAAAAGGUAAAAGAUGCCAAUAAACUUUAUUUAAAUAUCAUUUUUAAUCACUAGUGAAUAGUUUUUGUUUAUUGACUAUCCAUGUUAUUCUUAUCCAAUCUGGGGGUUCUUGAGGCCAACUCAGCUACCUUAAGCCAAUUUAGACUCGCCAGUUACCCGAUGCAUGUCUUCAGACUGUUGGAGUAAGAGGACCCAGACUGGAAAAAAA